CCACCUGCCGCCCCUCCCGUCCCUCGGACCCCGCCCCCCAAGCCUGACGUCACGCUACUGUGACGUUUGGCAAGCGCCAGAGUGACGUCACGCCUGCCCUUGGCUGGACAACGAAGAACUGCAGGUUUCCCUGCAGCCGUGCCCUGUCCAGGACCAGCCCCAGCAUGGAAUCAUCACAUGCCCUCUAUGAUCAUGGAGUCCAGCCAUUGACUUAACACCGAUAUGGCCACUAAACCGUGUCCUUUAACACCUCCAGGCACGAUGACUUCACCACCUCCCUGGGCAGCCUGUUCCUAUGUUUGGCCAUUUGUUCAGCAGAGACAUUUUUCUUCAGUUGUCCAGCCUAAACCUCCCCUGGUGCAGGUGGAGGCUGUCUGCUCUUGUUUCAUCACUUGGUACUACAGGGAAGAGGACAAAACCCACCUCACUGCAACCUCUUUUCAGUGAGUUGCAGAGAGUGAGAAGGUCCACCCUAAGCCUCCUUUUCUUCAGCCUAAACAAUCCCAGUUCCCUCAGGAGCUCCUCAUAAGCCUUGCUCUUCAAACCCUUCACCACGCACGCAGAAGGGCUUUCUGUCGCACCCUAGAAAGCGUCUGGCAGAGUCUUGUCAGACAUAGCAGUGGGUGUCCAGCAGCACAGCAUUCCUGUGCAGGUUCAGGUUCAGGCACUGACCUUGCUAGGAGUUCAAUAGAAGAUGAAAGUGAGGGUUGUGCUAUGCAGGGGAAGAUGUGAUGGGUCUGACUGCAAACAACAGAGAUCUAGAGGCUAUAGAGGGUAGGACAAUGAUGAUAGUUUAUUUUCCAGAUACAAAAGUGAUGUGGACUCACUUCUCUGCACUCAGCACUUUUCAGGAUAAGUGCUCAGCACAAGAAUUUCUAUCUCUGAGAGGCUUCCUUCAAACUCUGUGUGUCUUUAUAAGUUGAGAAAAGCUCAUAAACCUUGUGAAGAAAGUUGCAGUAAAAUUAGAAGUGUGAGAGCCAGCUGGGUUGCAGUGAUUUACAGCAGACUGCAUCAGGUUCCAGGUUGUCUCCUGGCUGGAUUAGGAAACUAAAAGCAGAUAAUCCUUGAAUGCAGAGUUAGUAAGAGCCUCUGCCCCACUGUGUCAUAGCCACAGCAGGCAUGAAGUCCCAGGGAGAACUGAAGCAGGAGGACAUGGAUGGGCAAGAAGGUUUCAGCAUAGGGGGAUUCAGGUGGCAUUGAGGAUCAGAGACAUCUUGUGUCUGCUAAGCCUCUGUGAGCAAUGGUGUUAAUCUCUCCUUGAGUUUAAAGGUGUUUGUUAAGUUAUUCUGCUUGGCCUUCCUUUUUUUCUUCAGUUUGGGAUUUUGGUGCUACAGAGAGAUGGAUUUUGGGAGCAUAUCUCUAUCCCUAUGCUCACAAGGGGCUGUGUGUCAGCACUGACCAUCAGGAUAUUCUCCUUUACAAUCCAGAGUGCAAGAAACCUCCUUUAGGUCUGCAGUGUCUCAUUUCUCACUGUAACAUUAGGAUGAUGGGGACCUUGCAGUUCAGGAACACCAUCAAAAAUUUAAUUCAUGGCCUUUCCUCAGGGCUUUGAGCCCACUAAAUGAAGUCACUGCACAAUUCAAAGAAACAUUUGAGGAUGCUGCUAACUGAUGCCUUCUAAUUCUGAUGCCAUCAUAUCAUCUUAUCUAAAAUGACCCCACUUGUGUUCUAUCAGUGCAGCACAACCAACUCCACCAGACUAGGUAAACCAGAGAAGAGGCUUUUCCACCUGUGCUUUUCCUCAUCUCAGAUGCAGAAGCUGCUUGGCCCUGCACUGAGAACUGCUCACACCUGGACAGCCAGGCCUCCUGCUCAUUUCAAGCAGUGCAAGAGACAAUUAAAUAAACCCAAGGAUUUUAGCUUGGCUUAGAAAUUUAGGUCCCAGAUUAUUCUGCAGCUGCCAAACUCCCAGCAAUGACUUAAGAGCAAGACUAAUUACUUUAAUGAAUCAGAUAUAACAAAUUGGAUAAGGCCCUGAAGAAUGUUCUUUUGAGCCCACAUUGGCAGAUGGCUGAGGUGGCUUGAUAGAGGAGUAGGCUUGCUAACAGUGCUUUGGGCACAAAAAAAAGCAACCAACAAACAAACAAUUAGAGACAACUUAGGGAAAAAACCCUUAUUGCUAAGACUAGAAUCUCAUCAAGACCUAGAAGCACAAAGAUAUAGGAGACUGAAGGACUUCAGCUAUGCAGCUCCCAGGGAGAAGGGUUUAUCAGGAGACACAGCUCUUCCUCCUUCUGAACCAACAUUUCCUGUGAUUGCAGCAAUGAUUGCCAAGAUAUUCUGGGGUGCGCAAUUUAACAUGCAGCAAGCAUAUUGGACAGAGAUGCUAUUUCCCUCCCCCCACCCCCCCACUAGUGAUUACUCUUUCCCUCAUUUGUGGUACCUUCACUUCUAAUCCUAAUAUUUUUAUUUCUUUUGGCCUACAAGUACCAUUUUAAAUGAUUCUCCCAUCAGCAAUGUUACCCAAACCACAGCCUGAGGAUCUCUAGCUGAUGGUACGGAGCAGCAAUGUAGGUUGUUAUCUCCAUAAGUAGGCAAAAAAUUGCCACCUGACUCAGCAGAGUUCCCAGUUUGGAAGACUUCCCCAACAAUUUGUGCAUUCAUUUGAAGAGGGAAGGAAGCAGUCAAUGCUGCUAUUCAAAAAAUAUUAGAUAGACAUGUGACUUAUUUUUGAAGAAAGU